rnacentral:ncRNA from 22 species
UAAUCAUUUCUGCUUUCAGGUUCCAAAGGGUUUUUCAAACCCAAUGGUUAAACGGGAAGUCGGUAAGGUUCACGCCAAAUCCGACGCUGCCCCCGCAACGGUAUAUAAGUAAAAGUUUCAUCGAGAUGCCACUGUGUUCACGCAUGGGAAGGUGAUGAUUCAGGUUAACGCCACUUAUAAGCCCGGAGACCGGCCCGAAAGUUUAAUUCGGUA